UUUAUGCCCAGAACAGGUAGGGCAGCAAUGAAAGCCUCUCCCAUCGAACCCCACCUCUUCUCACCAAUGUGCCUCAACCCUGCCCUGAAGGGACCACCUGGAGGGCUGAG
rnacentral:sRNA from 7 species